rnacentral:rRNA from 1 species
AUUGAACGCUGGCGGCAGGCCUAACACAUGCAAGUCGAACGAGUGGCGGACGGGUGAGUAAUGUCUGGGAAACUGCCUGAUGGCGGGGGAUAACUACUGGAAACGGUAGCUAAUACCGCAUACCAUCGGAUGUACCCAGAUGGGAUUAGCUAGUAGGUGGGGUAAUGGCUCACCUAGGCGACGAUCCCUAGCUGGUCUGAGAGGAUGACCAGCCAAACUGGAACUGAGACACGGUCCAGACUCCUACGGGAGGCAGCAGUGGGGAAUAUUGCACAAUGGGCGCAAGCCUGAUGCAGCCAUGCCGCGUGUAUGAAGAAGGCCCUCGGGUUGUAAAGUACUUUCAGCCGGGAGGCGUUACCCGCAGAAGAAGCACCGGCUAACUCCGUGCCAGCAGCCGCGGUAAUAC